AUGGGGUUUUUUGCAUCCGUUGCAGUGUUUGACAAACAUCAGCCUGCUCUUCAAGCACGUGCGCGCCCUCAGCAGCCUCCUGGCCGGGAUCUCCUUCCAGGAGGUGGAGGAGGCCCUCGGCUGGCUGAACAGAAUCAGUCCUCUGCCUCAGAGCCGGGAGCAGAUGUUCGAGUGCCAGAGUGCGGUGAUGAUGCUCCACGGGGCGCUGCUGAAGCUGCUGCAGACCCUGUUCGACAACUUCCUGACGGACUUCAGGGCUCAGGAGACGACGCGCAGCCUCCAAACGCGCCCGGCUCAUCACAACAGCGACAUCUUACAGUUCACCUUUUCCGCCCUCUACAAGCUGCCGGCCUCCUGGAUCAACACGUAUGUGAGCGCGUCCGGCCACGGACGACCCCAAACGUGGCCCACGCGUUGCGUGACCGGCGCCUUUGCCUCCCUCUGGCCUGUGUGACUUCUAGGUACGAGUCGUUCUCUCUGUCCUGUGACCUGAUGUACGGAGGAGCCAAUAUCUGCUCCACGGGCCACUCGGAAAACAUCAGCACCGGCCUGACGUUCGGACACAAGAUCCAGUUCAGCCGCAUGUGAGGACCACAUGUUACAGAUGCUGUAUCAGAUUUACCAUCUAGUUUCCUCCUUCCAUUAUUAUCUCAUAAAACUCGUCUGUAUGUUUGUUUUUAGGAUGGUGUUUCCCAUUACAGUUAGUGAUCUGCCCUAUGAGACCAUGUUGACCAUUCACCUCAAAGGAUCAAAGAAAGGAAAAGGCCCGGAGCUGCUGGGCUGGGCCGUCCUGCCCGUCUACAGCAACAUGACUCUGGCUGCAGGAACCUUCCUGCUCAGCCUGUCUUCGCUGCCUGCAGCCCCUCAGCCUCCGUCCCCGGCCCUCUACGACGGCCACACGCUGCCCACCGGCGUCAUCCUGCAGCUCGAAUUUCCCCACGAGUGCAAGUGGACUUUCCAGAGGCCCAUCGCUCUUCCUGGUUCUUCCGCGCCCUGUGAGCCGUGUGAGGAGCUGCAGAAGAAAAUGCUGGAGAUCUCAAAGAAGAGCUGCCUCUGCUUUCUAAACGACACGGACAAGGCCUUCCUGUGGGAAAAGCGUCACAACAGUGACAAAGGCUGCGCCUUCCUCCACCUGCUCCUGGGUUCCGCUCCACACUGGCGCCCGGAAAUGCUGACGGAGAUCUAUUCACUGGUGGAGAACUGGCCCAUCCACCUGCCGGAGGAAGCCCUGUUCCUGCUCAGCGAAAGGUGA
rnacentral:lncRNA from 1 species